rnacentral:lncRNA from 1 species
UCAGUUGCUAAUGUUCUGGAUAUCUAUAUAUCAUAUUUAUAUAUAGAUGAUAUGAUAUUUUGCCCACGACACCCUUUACAUAUCAUAUUUCCUUGCUAUUAGACAAUUGCAAAGCUGGGAAAAAUCAUAUUUACAAUUAUUAAGAACCUCAUAAAUGUCACUUACAUUAGCAUUGAUUCCAGAAAACUCAGGUUAAUCACUUCUAAUCAUGAUUUAAGAUUCCCCUAAUAGUUUUGCUGAGUACCUCUCUAUACUAGAGGAUAUCAAUGUGAGGUAGAGUUUCAACUAACAAUUAACUUAUAAUAACGGCCAAAAUUUAACUCUAAUGACGUACACAAGUUUCUUGGUUUUUGAGAAACAUAUAUUUGUUAUGCUUAAUUUUAGAGGGAUAAAUAAUAUAAAGAGACAUGAACAUUUGAGAAUUUGAUUUUGGUGUAGCAACUGAAUGAUUGAAUCUUUAUGUUUUUGUGAUGGUUGGAGCGGUAGGUGCAUUUGGCACACAAAGCAAGCAUUCAAACCUUGGAGAGGAACAAUUCCCACUUUGGGUUGUGGAAGAGGCAGAGAGCACUAGUUGAGAUGGCCUCCUCUCGCUGUGCAACGAUGCCUUAGUGGGGGUAUAUCAUCAUGACGACUCCUCACCUCACCAUGUUUAUCCCCUCCUCCACCAUCACGACUUCCUUCCAGGCGUGCAGCUCUCAGUUGUGCUCCCCAUCAGAAGCUCCUAUUUCACCCAAUUCAUGCGCCAUCGAUGCUGCUGUGAGGGCAUGAUGGUUUCCAACUCUUCACAUGAUUGACUCGGGUCAUUAUUGCUGUCACUUUGUGUUGCUUAAGCAAAUACCUUUUGAAUCCAUUCCACAUGUUGCAACAAUAGAGAUCUGCAACCCAUAGGCUUUGACUCCAUUCCACAUGUUGCAACGAUAGAGAUCUGCAACCCACAGAGGCUUUGAAUCCAUUCCACAUGUUGCAACAAUAGAGAUCUGCAACAGUUCUGGUGAUUCAUAUAAGAAACAUACACAGGCUGAGUCCAUUCCACAUGUUGCAACAAUAGAUAUCUGCAACAGCACUGGUGAUCAUGUGACCCACAGAGGCUGCAAACAGUGAACAAGACUUGAGACAAGAGGAGGAAGAGGGGCUGACUUCACCUUUAAGGAUGUCCCUUCUUUGUUAACAAUCAUGGCUUCUCUUUCUCUUGAUUGUGUUUUGGAAGCAGCAAUGAUGGUCUGGUCUCCGUUCUAAACGUAUCAUCCCAAAGUCAACAUCUCCAAGGUUAGAUGGAGGAGAAAUGUGUGACACAGCUUCUCACUUCACUGUAAAAGAUAUAGAGGAGGCAGUACCAGAAGCCAGCAAGCUGAUCCCACUCUCCCAACACAAGGAACAGCAGAAGAGAUCAACAAAAUUGGUCAUAUGCCCAGCAUUAUUCUUAGGCUGAACAAAAUCCUCAUCCCUGGUAACAUUAUACACCACAGAUUCCAUUUAUUUAUCACUCUAUAAGCUAAUGCUUAAUAAAUUUGUUAUUCCAUGUAGGUUGAGGACCAUGCUUAAUCAAUUGAAGAGGGAUUAACAGAUAGAAUACUCCAAACUGAGGACCAAAGUUGGAUCUGGAGUCAAAAAUUUAUCCUCUUGAGCAAAAAGUUUCAACAUUGCAGCCAUGUUUGAUAUAGUCUUCUUUUGUCUUCAAUUACUCCCUCUCAGAUUCAGCUCUUCUGAAAGAAGUUCCAUGGAGAUUCAACAAACAGCGAGGGUUUUUGUUUGAACAUUAGCACCUGUUACUUGCUUUCCCAUGCCUUCUGAAACUCUAUUUGCUUCCGCUUGAUGAUACAAACACUUGUAACGAACACAAUUUCUGGGUGCCAUAUUUUAUCAAGAUCCUCUUUCUGAUCUAGUGGAGGCAUUUGAAGCUCAUUUAGUAAAUCUGGGCAUUCCUCUUCUCAGCUUGGUUUUGGGUGUUUCCUUCUGCUCAGAGUAGUGUCACGACCUUAGCUGAUUUUGCCUAAGGCGUGCGGCACCCUUGCGUGUCCGUCCGCAAAGGUCAGCCUCCCCGAAGCCUCCCAUCGUCCCUUAGGACCAACAAAAGAGAGAACGA